rnacentral:rRNA from 1 species
CACUCCUGCGGGAGGCAGCAGUGGGGAAUAUUGCACAAUGGGCGCAAGCCUGAUGCAGCCAUGCCGCGUGUAUGAAGAAGGCCUUCGGGUUGUAAAGUACUUUCAGCGGGGAGGAAGGCGAUAAGGUUAAUAACCUUGUCGAUUGACGUUACCCGCAGAAGAAGCACCGGCUAACUCCGUGCCAGCAGCCGCGGUAAUACGGAGGGUGCAAGCGUUAAUCGGAAUUACUGGGCGUAAAGCGCACGCAGGCGGUCUGUCAAGUCGGAUGUGAAAUCCCCGGGCUCAACCUGGGAACUGCAUUCGAAACUGGCAGGCUAGAGUCUUGUAGAGGGGGGUAGAAUUCCAGGUGUAGCGGUGAAAUGCGUAGAGAUCUGGAGGAAUACCGGUGGCGAAGGCGGCCCCCUGGACAAAGACUGACGCUCAGGUGCGAAAGCGUGGGGAGCAAACAGGAUUAGAAACCCCGGUAGUCCCAUGAU